AGCGCAGGCGGUUUGAUAAGUCUGAAGUUAAAGGCUGUGGCUCAACCAUAGUUCGCUUUGGAAACCGUCAAACUUGAGUGCAGAAGGGGAGAGUGGAAUUCCAUGUGUAGCGGUGAAAUGCGUAGAUAUAUGGAGGAACACCGGUGGCGAAAGCGGCUCUCUGGCCUGUAACUGACACUGAGGCUCGAAAGCGUGGGGAGCAAACA
rnacentral:rRNA from 1 species